CGGGUGAGUAACACGUGGAUAACCUACCUAUAAGACUGGGAUAACUUCGGGAAACCGGAGCUAAUACCGGAUAAUAUUUUGAACCGCAUGGUUCAAAAGUGAAAGACGGUCUUGCUGUCACCUAUAGAUGGAUCCGCGCUGCAUUAGCUAGUUGGUAAGGUAACGGCUUACCAAGGCAACGAUGCAUAGCCGACCUGAGAGGGUGAUCGGCCACACUGGAACUGAGACACGGUCCAG
rnacentral:rRNA from 1 species